GACGAACGCUGGCGGCGUGCUUAACACAUGCAAGUCGAACGGAAAGGCCCUGCUUUUGUGGGGUGCUCGAGUGGCGAACGGGUGAGUAACACGUGAGUAACCUGCCCUUGACUUUGGGAUAACUUCAGGAAACUGGGGCUAAUACCGGAUAGGAGCUCCUACUGCAUGGUGGGGGUUGGAAAGUUUCGGCGGUUGGGGAUGGACUCGCGGCUUAUCAGCUUGUUGGUGGGGUAGUGGCUUACCAAGGCUUUGACGGGUAGCCGGCCUGAGAGGGUGACCGGCCACAUUGGGACUGAGAUACGGCCCAGACUCCUAAGGGAGGCAGCAGUGGGGAAUAUUGCACAAUGGGCGGAAGCCUGAUGCAGCAACGCCGCGUGCGGGAUGACGGCCUUCGGGUUGUAAACCGCUUUCGCCUGUGACGAAGCGUGAGUGACGGUAAUGGGUAAAGAAGCACCGGCUAACUACGUG
rnacentral:rRNA from 1 species